rnacentral:tRNA from 1 species
GCCGCCAUAACUCAGUUGGUAGAGUGUCUGGCUGUUAACCAGGUUGUCACAGGUUCGAGCCCUGUUGGCGGCG